rnacentral:rRNA from 1 species
UUGACCUCGGAUCAAGGUAGGAAUACCCGCUGAAC